rnacentral:rRNA from 1 species
UACGGAGGGUGCAAGCGUUAUCCGGAUUCACUGGGUUUAAAGGGUGCGUAGGUGGGCAGGUAAGUCAGUGGUGAAAUCUCCGGGCUUAACCCGGAACUGCCGUUGAUACUAUUUGUCUUGAAUAUUGUGGAGGUAAGCGGAAUAUGUCAUGUAGCGGUGAAAUGCUUAGAUAUGACAUAGAACACCAAUUGCGAAGGCAGCUUACUACAACAAUCAUUGACACUGAGGCACGAAAGCGUGGGGAUCAAACAGGA